GCCGUGGUAGCUCAGGGGUAGAGCACUUCCUUGGUAAGGAAGAGGUUGUGAGUUCAAUUCUCAUCUACGGCU
rnacentral:tRNA from 1 species